AAGGCACAACUUGAUUCUGGUUGGAAGUGUCUAGCUACAAGAUUAUGAGGUCAGAAGUUCUGAGGUAGGAGUGUGUAUGUGGGUGGGGGAGGAAAUAGCAAAGAAGGUUCCAUAGCAGUUAGAAAGUUUCCCAGGCAUCUGAGAUGACGAAUGAAACUUCAGAGCUCAAAAAGCCCAUGAACCUUAUGAUAGAAAGACCAGUGAUGAAACAGUACCACCGGGUUCGGCCUGUAAUGAUGAUGAAAAAUUGGUCUGUAUACUCCGGUCGGACCUUCUUUUCUGCCCCUCAGUGGUUAAUCAUACCCAUCUGCACUACAUUCAGUACUUUUGGCUUCCUGGCAUUGCUUGUAUGUUGUUCUGCUGCUAACAGAUGGGCACUGUUGAUAUCGAUCGACCAUACAUGGGAGCAAUAUAUCGGCAUUUGGCAAGACUGCUUAACUGAAAACUGCUGGACAGAUAUUUUUAUUUGGCCUGCCCUCCAGACUGCUCAAGGUUUCAUGAUCACAGCUGUCCUUUGUAGUUUCCUGCUCACCGCAUGGUUGUAUGGUUUUUUCUGUACUUCUCCUUCACUGAAGAUACACUGCCAUCUUGUUUUCAUUGUCCUUUCGUUCUUGGCAGGCUCUUGUCUCUUCAUUGCCAUACUACUGAUUAUGUUCGUUUUGGAAAAAGUAAAUGCAUCGUAUAACACUUACUACAUAUUCCUGUGGCCUUUUUACAUGCUGUGGAUAGCUUUUGUUCUGUUCCUGAUUUCCUGUGUCUUGGGAUCCUUUUCUUAUAAGGAGUCAGGCCAGAGAAAAAGGAGAAUAACAAAUUUAAUAAGGUCAGAAUUAUCAGUGGGAAAUGAGUGCUUAAAAACAUUUCCUCUCCCCAAAACUCAAGAUGAAAUCUUAUACCCUCCUACGUUGCAAGAGAAGAGGUCUUCCUUGGUGAACUGGACAACAGAUAGUGACAUUUAUGGUGCAUUUGGGGAUCUGUAA
rnacentral:lncRNA from 1 species